rnacentral:rRNA from 1 species
UUGCAGCGCGAACUGUCAGACUUGAGUACACGCAACGUAUGCGGAAUUCAUGGUGUAGCGGUGAAAUGCUUAGAUAUCAUGAAGAACUCCGAUUGCGAAGGCAGCAUACGGGAGUGUAACUGACGCUUAAGCUCGAAGGUGCGGGUAUCGAACAGGAUUAGAUACCCUGGUAGUCCGCACAGUAAACGAUGGAUGCCCGCUGUUAGCGCCUGGCGUUAGCGGCUAAGCGAAAGCAUUAAGCAUCCCACCUGGGGAGUACGCCGGCAACGGUGAAACUCAAAGGAAUUGACGGGGGCCCGCACAAGCGGAGGAACAUGUGGUUUAAUUCGAUGAUACGCGAGGAACCUUACCCGGGCUUGAAUUGCAGAGGAAUUAUUUAGAGAUAAAUAUGCCCUUCGGGGUCUCUGUGAAGGUGCUGCAUGGUUGUCGUCAGCUCGUGCCGUGAGGUGUCGGCUUAAGUGCCAUAACGAGCGCAACCCCUUUUCUUAGUUGCCAUCAGGUAAUGCUGGGCACUCUGGGAACACUGCCACCGCAAGGUGUGAGGAAGGUGGGGAUGACGUCAAAUCAGCACGGCCCUUACGUCCGGGGCUACACACGUGUUACAAUGGCCGGUACAGAGGGAUGGUGUAAUGUAAAUUGCAUCAAAUCUUAAAAGCCGGUCCCAGUUCGGACUGAGGUCUGCAACCCGACCUCACGAAGCUGGAUUCGCUAGUAAUCGCGCAUCAGCCAUGGCGCGGUGAAUACGUUCCCGGGCCUUGUACACACCGCCCGUCAAGCCAUGAAAGCCGGGGGUGCCUGAAGUUCGUAACCGUAAGGAGCGACCUAGGGCAAAACUGGUAAUUGGGGCUAAGUCGUAACAAGGUAACC